rnacentral:rRNA from 1 species
CCUACGGGAGACAGCAGUGAGGAAUAUUGGUCAAUGGCCGUAAGGCUGAACCAGCCAAGUCGCGUGAAGGAAGAAGGAUCUAUGGUUUGUAAACUUCUUUUAUAGGGGAAUAAAGGUAUCCACGUGUGGAUAUUUGCAUGUACCCUAUGAAUAAGCAUCGGCUAACUCCGUGCCAGCAGCCGCGGUAAUACGGAGGAUGCGAGCGUUAUCCGGAUUUAUUGGGUUUAAAGGGUGCGUAGGUUGUUUUUUAAGUCAGCGGUGAAAGUUUGUGGCUCAACCAUAAAAUUGCCGUUGAAACUGGAAGACUUGAGUGUGUUUGAGGUAGGCGGAAUGCGUGGUGUAGCGGUGAAAUGCAUAGAUAUCACGCAGAACUCCGAUUGCGAAGGCAGCUUACUAAGCCAUAACUGACACUGAAGCACGAAAGUGUGGGUAUCAAACAGGAUUAGAUACCCCAGUAGUC